rnacentral:rRNA from 1 species
UACGUAGGGGGCUAGCGUUGUCCGGAAUCAUUGGGCGUAAAGCGCGUGUAGGCGGUCCGGUAAGUCCGCUGUGAAAGUCGGGGGCUCAACCCUCGGAUGCCGGUGGAUACUGUCGGGCUUGAGUACGGAAGAGGCGAGUGGAAUUCCUGGUGUAGUGGUGAAAUGCGCAGAUAUCAGGAGGAACACCAAUUGCGAAGGCAGCUCGCUGGGACGUUACUGACGCUGAGACGCGAAAGCGUGGGGAGCAAACAGG